GGGAAGGACUGGCUUUGGAGGGGAUGAGGGCGUGAUGGCUGAGAGCAGGGGGUGGGGGGGGGGAGAAGGGGAGUCAUCAGGGCAGCCCCUCACCUCAGGGAGCUGCUCUAAGCUGGAACCCACUCUCGGAGGGAGGGUCUCCAACCCUUUUUCUGACAGGCACAGGGACUACGAGCCUCCCUGCUCCUCAGUUUCCCCAAACGUGAGAUGGUGAUGGAAACCAAAUGUCACUGUGAGAAAAGCCCCUGUUCUCACAGCCUCCCUGCACCCCCCCACCACCGUUCCAGUCCUCAGACACCUGUCUGCUUCGGAGCAGUAUUCAACAGGAGAGCUCUGGCUCCGGGGAGGGAGGGCCGAGGGAGGAGGGAGCGAGGAGGGCGCGAUGUGGAGGGAGCGAAGGAGGGAGGAGAGCUGUGCCCCCGACUCAGAGAGGCGGUGAGCCAGGUCUGCAUCGGGUAGGACUUGGGCCACUUAAGAUUUGUGCCAACUCACGGUGCAGUGGAAUCAGACAGUCUGAAUUCUUCAGACACCAGCCAAGAGUCUGUGGCGCCCCCAAGUGCCACAAGGGGGCUGCCUGGGCCACAUUUUUGAGCCCGGAAAGUGAGGAGGGGGAGACAGUCAUUAGGGGCUGGUGCUUUUGCUUUUGUAGCUGCGCUUCUAAAUGCGGGCGGGGAGAGGGGGCCAGUCCCUGCCCCGGGACAGCUGGGAGGGGGUGACAGGCUCUGGCUCGGGGUGGCUGCAGGCUGCACCCCUCCCUCACUGAGGGCUGUGCUGCAAUGCAGCAGGCUGCCUGAGGGUCUGGUGGGAGGAACUGUCCGCUGGGUGGCCGGCAGACUUUCCAAAAUGGGGAAUGAGGGGUGAGGGAGGGAGCGUUUCCAGGGGGGCGAGGUGUCCAGGAAGCCCCCCCUCCCCCCCCGCCCUGCACAGAGAGUCUGGCCGCUGUGGACCGGCCAGAACUGGGGGAGAGGUGGAGGGGCCUGUGCUGGUCCCUAGGGUCUGGGGAAAUUGGUUGGACCUGGGGUCUAGUGUUUGUCGGUUUGCGGUGGGAGAUAUGACUGAUGGAGAAGGGGGACGCCGAGAGAGCGGGGAGAAAGGGGUUCAGGACAGUGAAAGCAGCUUGGUACACAGUUUGAGGGCAAAAGCACUAACUCCUUUCCUUCCAAAAAACCAACUAAAAAAUAAAGCCAGAAAAAAAAAAAAAAAGGCAUUUGAAAGCUAGAGAGCUGAAUCCUUACCAGCCAAGCUGGGCUCAGGAAGGACUCCUCAGGUGGACUCCUCAGGACUCCUCGGCCCUGGAGGAGGGGGGUGCCGUCAGGUCCCUUUAGAGCCAGUUAAGAGGUUAACAGGACACCCCUGGGGGGCAGGAGGGUCUGAGGGGAACAUGGGGAGUCUGCGGGAGGCAGGAGGGUCUGUGAGGGGCCUGGAGGGCCUGGGGGGAGCACGGGGGUGGGGUCUGAGGGAGGCAGGAGGGCCUGGGGGUGGCUGCUGGGCAUCUUGUUCCUUAGCGUCCUUGCACCCUAGUCCUUUCUCCUUAAUCCGCCCAACUCAGAACGGCUUGCUCCCACCAGCCCUGGCCCCUUUCUUGUACCCUUUCCACUUAAAAAAAAAUUUUUUUUUAAUGUUUAUUUUUGAGAGAGACAGAGAGAGAGAGGAGGAGGCAGAGAGAGAGAGAGGGAGACGAAGAAUCCAAAGCAGGUUCCAGGCUCUGAGCUGUCGGCACAGAGUCCGAUGCGGGGCUCGAACCCACGAACCGUGAGAUCACGACCUGAGCCGAAGUCAGAUGCUCAACCGACCGAGCUACCCAGGUGGCCCUACCCUUUCCCUUUGGAGGCAUUUGUUCCUAUGAAUCAGCUCCCUAAUACCCCCCAACGUUGAGGUUGGACCCUGGGCCCCUUUGCUUUUUUAAAUGGCUUCCCUUUUCUUGCCCCCUCCCCCCCGCUCUGUAUUUUUACCUGUUGGUCUUUAAAACCUUCUAUUCCGUAAACUUUGAAGCAACACAAAAGCAGAGGAAGGAAUACCUAUUUUUAUUACAACGUACACAGUUUUCACAUUGCUGCCACCCAGGUGCCAACAGCUGUCAGCCCCUCUUGUUUGGUCUGAGCCUUGUACUGUCCUCUUCCAACCCCCACCCCAGACUAUUUUGAAGCAAACUCCAGACACCAUAUUGUUUCCUCCGAGCACAUUUCAGUGCAUAUCUCUAAACAAGAAGGACUCUUUUCUGUUUUAAAAACAUAGCCACAAUGCCACUUUCACAGUUAAAAAAUUAACAGCCUUUCUUUAAUGUCAUCCAACAUCUAUUCAGCCUUCAAAUAGCCCCAGUUGACUCAUAAAUUUCUCUUGCAGUUGGCGCGUUCGAAGCAGUGUCCAAAAUCUUUCCUGCAUUUUCAGGGGGGGCGCUGGGCUUACAGAAGGUGAGAGGACUUUGAGAGGUUAGUGACUUGUCCAAAUUCUGCUAGGAAGCCAGACCCAGGAUUCCAAUCCAGGUUUGUCUGAUUCCUGUACAUAAUGGAGAGGUGGAAGGAGGGUUGGGGGGGUCUGCUGGAUGGAGGCCUGCCUCCGUGAGGCCUCAGCAGGUGGAGAGGUGGUGUGGAGGCUGAUGCCUGCUGGCGAGAUGGGUGAACAAAUUCAUGUACAGAGGGUGGAAAGAUGGAUGAGGAAGAGAGAGUAGUCAGUUUCUCAGCAAGAUCAAAGGCUUUCUUGGUCUCUGAAGAGAUGUUUCCUCUGAGUGGAGCUUGCUGGUGAAGCUCCUGCCUUUUGUUCUGCCUCUGAGUGUACUGACUGGCUCAGGUGGCUCUGGGACAACAGGUCUCCUGCCACCUCACAGACACCAGGCCCUGGCUGUGGUGCUGGAGCUUCUCAGCAGCGACUCUCAGUCUCAGCGGUUUUCACACUGUGAUGAGAAACAGCAGGCAGCCUUCUUCUGCUGGCUCGGGAUGACUAAGCCCUGAGCCCAACCACAUGCCCAGUCCUUUGGUAGCCACUUGGCAUAAUUUUACCUCCCCUAAAUCAUCACAGUGACCCUCCAUGAUAGCAAUUACCAUCCUCAAUUAAGAUACAAGAAAAUUGAGGUUUAGGAAUGAUAAGUGACUUGCCCCAAAUCGCGUAGGGAACCAGGAUUUGGACCUUAGUCUGCUUUUUCCUUCUAAACUCCUACCCUCUUCCCAUUUCUUUUUCUCUAAGACUGUGCCUGAAAAAAAAUUUCACUCCUUGGGGUUAACCCUUGUUCAACUCACCCUCCUGGUCUAUCAGGGAGCUGGACCUCUUAUCCCCCAGACUCUAAAUUUAUUUCUCAAGUAACACUUUCUCUAGUUUGUCCUACUCGUGACUAUCACACAUAUAAAGGUCAAACACACCACUGACCUCUUGCAGUACAAUUCAGUCAAAUUUCUAGUAGUUCCUAUUAGGACUGAAUGCUAAGGGAAGCGGGUGUAAAAAUGACUCUAGAGCCUGGAGGUAUACAAGGAAUCAGCCUAGAGGGAAUCAGACAGAGGGCUGAAAGACAGAUCAGCAAGCCUCCCUGAAGGCCUGGCUCAAAUUCAGCCAGAUAUGUUUUGAUAAUCUGCUUAUGGGCUAAGUCCUGUUACACAUAUCCCAGAUGCUCAGGCUUAAUUCACGGGUCUGACAUUGACUAGUUUAGUGAGUAUGUAACCUCUGUGCCUCAGUUUCCUCACUUGUAAUAUGGGGAUACCAACAGUACCUUAUUAAUGGGUAUUUGAAAAUUAAAUGAUUUAAACAUUUAAAGUGCUUAAAACAAUAUGUUUCCCAUAUGGUUAGUGUUCAAUAAAUAUUUCAUGAUCGUUAAAAUUAUAAUUGUCGUAACUGUUUUUAUUGAGAUGUUCAAUAUCUCCGGCUGCUAAGAUCAUUUUAUGCGUUCUGCAGAUAGCUGGGCCAUAUAGCUCAGAGAGGCAUGUGAGUUUGCCUUUGGAGAGGGAGUCGGUGAAAUAGAAACACAUGUAUUAAUUUAAGACUAGAAGACUUUAUCUCCAGUUAGGGAAAUGAGAAAUAUAUACACCAAAUGGAUAUGAUCCAUCUAAUGAAAUGUUAAGCCUCGGAAUAGGUGAAAGUCCCCUGAAGGAAUUUCCUUGGAGGUAUUGAGAAUUACAGAGAGAUUGAAUGGGAGCUGAAAAGAAGCUGAGGAGGAGGGCAAGAUGAGCAAUCAAGUUGUCUUGGUUCAACUUCAUGGCUUCUAGAAGCAGUGGGCAAGUUCCCUAAGCUCUUAUAUGUGUUCUUCUCAAAUUUAUUUCUCUAUCUGUUUUUUUCUUCUUUUUUUUUGGUCGGGGGGAGGAGAAAAUAAUCACUUUAGAAAUGUUUCUUUAUUUGCUCUUUUGAGAGUGGCCAGCUGGAACAAAGAAUUGUUCCAUUGAGCCUUACCUCAUGGAGGCCAUGAGGACUGGGAGACCUCCUCCCCUUUCUGGGUAGAACGUUUGCCACUUAAGCCUAGGCAGUGGACAGCUGCAUGCGGGGGUGUUCCUGGGGGAAGGGUACCUCUGGAUGCCCUACUGGCUAAGUGACAGGGUAGGGGGUUAGCAUCUGUGCUUACUUGCUGGCUACGAUGGGUGCAUGAUGUGAUUUUAGCAUGACCUGACGCAGUGUCUGUGCAAGUCCUGUGGGAACUGUCACCACUGCACUUUCUCUAAGAAGGACGGUGUAUUUAUUCACCCAGGGCUAUUAGUAUACCCUGGAGAUGCCCUGUGCUCCUGAGACUGUCUGUGUGGGAGGUCAGACGAACCCCUCUACUCACCCACACACGUAUUCACACACUCUCCUUGUAUGCUGACAGUGGGGUAUCAGAGAGCAAGAACUACAAAAAUGAGGCAGUGGGGAGAAGUAGGGAAGACAAGACUCUGGGGCUCAGCAUCUUUCUUGCUGUGUGACCACUUGUAAGUCACUUAACCAUUCUGAGGCUCAGUUCCCUCGUGUGUAAGAUGGAACUAAUAAUGUUUGCGCAGAUAUCACCUUCUCGGUGGGGUUUGUGUCCUUCUUGUUGCUUGCUGUCCCUUUCCUGCUUUAUUUUUCUUCAUCGUUCUUACGACUGGCUCGUAUACCACAUAUCGUACUUAUUUAUUUUUAAUGUUGUCUGUUCUGUCUCUACCCAGGGGAUAGUAGCUCUCAGAUUUUGUCUGUUUGGUUCAUUGCGGUAUCCCAGGACCUAGAACCAGUGCCUGGCACAAAACGUGUGCACAGGACUCUUGGAGGGGGUGGGGGAGAAAAAAAGAGAUGCUGUUGAACUGUACCCACCCCAGAAGCCUGGCGAUGCAUGCAAAGCAGGCAGCAUGGUGCCUGGUGCAGAGUAGGCAUUCAAUCAAUAUUGGCUAAUUAUGAUUAUUAUGUGUAAUUCACAGGACUGCUGUGAGGAUCAAACAAGAUAAUGUAUGCUAAGGCAUGCUGUGAACACUACGUGCUGGGUACAGGAGAACAGAGGCCCCAGAGUGGGUCUAUUGAUGCUCUGUUGAUCGAGAUCUUGGCUGUGACCUCUCUGGCAGUGAACCAUGGAUCAACCAACAUGAGUGAUGGUGAAAGCCGUUGAAAAUGAUCCAGGGUGUUCCUUUUUUAAACGGUUGCUUUCUCUUGCACGAAAUGGGCAUGCCAUAGUUCAUUUAACCAUGCAAUAUUUAUGAGAAUUUUGAAUCUUAUUUGGAUGGAUAAGGUACAUUAAGAAAUGUAAGUAACAGUUGAUGUUCUUAAAUCUUUGGCUGGAAAGUUUUUGAGGGUGUUCAUAAAUAAGUAAAUGAAUGAAUGAAAUGAACAGAUGAAGGAAUAAAACCCGAGAUGGCAAACAUGGGCCUAUGACAAUAAUCUCUCAUUAUCCCAGAAUUAAGAUUAUUCAGAUUCUGUGCAGUCGGUGCUUCAGUUCAAAGUCCAGACCAUCAUGAUUCACUUCUGGUUUGGAUGUGACUCUCCUCAUGCAGAAACUUCUAGAGAUGGGAUCUCUGUCCUCAUGGGGUAAACAGGUUGUGUUGGAAACACCUCCAUACUUCCCUGUUGGAAAGGAAGAGAAUAGGAGACAGAGAAGUGUGGAACCCUACCGGGGAAAUGAUGUGAGGUCUCCCUACCUGUGGCUGUCACUGUAUAGGAAAAAAAGAAUAAAGGCAGAUGUUGGUAAUAGCCAUCAUUCUUUUUUUUUUUUUUUUUGUCCUUUUUUUGUCCAUCAAAUUUGGAAUUAGUGGGGUUUUUUGUUUACUUAUUUAUUUUUGGUCAUGGUCAUCAUUCUUAUUUUAGGUGAUCAAUUCUAUGGUAUUCACCAGAAUAACAAUUGAGAACCAUUAAUUGGUCAAGUCAAUUAAAAAUAGAGUGCUGUUUUUGGGUCAAUGAUGAGAAGGAGGGCCAAGCAUGGACCAAUAUUGAGAAUGUGGUACAAACCAUGGAUUAUAGCUAAUCUGGGAUUUCACAAUUAACAUUGAUUUACAAAGUUUUAAAUCUAAUACCUUUCAUUUUUUUUAAUACUUGGUUUCUGUUCUACAGAAAGAAUGCACUAGAGCUGAUUAGUCAUCUGUAAUGAUAAACAGCUUGCCUCUGUGGGUAAGGAGCCUGGAGGCUGAUGUAAGUGACAGUUCUUGCUCUUGGUUGGAAUGGUUUGCUCAUGGAUGUUGACUGUAUUACUUAAAAGAAACAGAUAGUUUCAUAUGUUGGUAAUACAGGAGGCCAUGCAUGAACCAAUGAUAAGUGUGCUAUGAACCAAAGAUCAUGGGGAAUCCAAUUCAAUACGACUUAAUUCCAUUAAAAAUAUGCUAAGGCCUUUGCUUGUGUUAUUGGUAUUUUAAUGUUUCAGUAUUAAAUAUUGUACUACUGUUGAUUUAAACAUUCCCCUAUUGAUAUAAAAACUCUAUGCCGUUAACUGGUUGAGAGGAUGGCCCAUGGAGAGAUGGACAAAUAUUAUCAGUUUUCUAUUCUGAACGAUGGUGGAUUCAUAAUAGUUCAUUGUGUUAUCUUUGAAAUACAAAUGAAUUAAAACAAAGAGGUAUGAACAGGCCAGUAAUGAAUGUGGGAUUGGUAUGUAGAAAGCAUGUUGAUAGACUCAUCUGGUGUUGACCUUUAUAGAGAGAUAUAUAGCAUAUUAUUUCUGUGGGAAAUUAGCCUAUGGACAUGUGCCAUCCAAUAGAGUGGCCACUAGCCACAGGUGGCUACCAAGCACCUAGAAUGUGGCUAGUCUGAAUUGAGAUAUUGAUCUACUUUGAAAAUACAUACCAAAUUUAGAAGAUGCACUCCAAAAAAUGUAAAACAUGUCAUUAAAAUGUGUUUAUAUAGAUUACACGUUUUAUUUUUAAAUUUUUAAAUAUUUUUUUGUUUUUGAGAGAGAGAACACGAACAGGGGAGGGGCAGAGAGAGAGAGGGAGACACAGAAUCCGAAGCGGGCUCCAGGCUCUGAGCCGUCAGCACAGAGCCCGAUGCGGGGCUCAAACUCACAAACUGUGAAAUCAUGACCUGAGUUGGAAGUCAGAUACCCAACCAACUGAGCCACCCAGGCACCCAUAUAGAUUACAUGUUGAAAUGAUAGCAUUUUAAGUUUAAAUAAAUUUGGGUUAAACAUACAAUUAUAACUGAUUUCAUCUGUUUCUUUUUACUUUUAAAAAUGUAAAAGAUGUAGAUUCUACUAUUUUAUUUUAAUUUUUUUAUUUGAGAGAGAGAGCGAGACAGAGAGACAGAGAGAGAUGGGGAAGGGCAGAGAGAGGGAGAGACAGAAUCCCAAGUACGCUCUAUGCCUUUAGUGCACAGCCUGAUGCGGUGCUCGAACUCAUGAACUGUGAGAUCGUGACCUGAGCCAAGAUCAGGAGUUGGUCGCUUAACCGACUGAGCCACCCAGGCACCCCUAAAAUAUAGAUUCUAGAAAACUGAAAAGUUUAUGGGUGGCUUGCAUUAUGUUUUAUUGGCCGGCACUACUAUGCAACAAUGAUAGCAAUAGUCAAGGAUCUUUUCCUUUAUGUUUUUCUGACCCACGGAUAUUGAUUUAUUAUUGGUCAAUUAAUGGAUCAGUGGAAAGUAAAUAGACAAAUGGGAAAAACAGGGAAAAGCACACACUUACUAUUAAUGUAUUGAAGUGAGCAUUAUUUUAACAUUUUUUAUGAUGCACCGGGACCGUAAAAACAAUGUGCAUCGGUUAAUUCCCGUGGUUAAUGAACAUAUGAAUAGAUGUGUGUACUAAUCAGUGCUGUUGUAUUGGGUUGUUGGUGUCCUGCUGUGUUUUGUUUUUGUUUUUAAGGAAAAUGACCUGCAAGGAACAAGUAGCUGAGUAAAUAACUAGAUAGAAGAGACUGAAACAUGGUAAGUGCUGAGUGAGCACAGCAUUGUGAGCAAAGGUGUUGGUUAAUGCAGAUGGGCACCAAUGGAAUCCACUGCAAUAAAUGCCUGGUCUCAGUUUUGUGGGAAAUGAGCCUGUCAUCAGAGGUUAGAGAGAUUGCAGGGUCUUAAUCUUAGACUUUUGAGGCUUGUGGGUAUUGAUUAUGUUAUUGUGUAAGUGAGUCAAUGAGUAAAUCAUUUAAAUAAAUGUAUAAAUGAAUGAAAAGAGAGGCCAAGUAUGGACCGAUGAUGAGUGUGUAACACGGACCAAGAAUUAUUAAUAUGUUUUUGAAAUACUGAAGUCCAUUAAGAAAAGAAAGCACUGAUGUCUGUUUGUUAAAAAGGGAUGUGAGAAAUGAAGAAGAAAUAAAGAAGAGAACAUAAGACAAUUGCAGAAGACCAAUGUUGAAAUUAUGUCACAUGAUAAGAAUUAUGAUUAAUCCAAUUUAUUUACUGAGUGCAUUAAAUGACAACAAAGGUCUGGUUGGUUGCCUCUGUAGGUAAUGAACAAGUGGACAGAUACUAGUUUUAUUGAGAGUUUUUGACCAGUUUCUUUAGAUUCCAAGCUAGGGAUUGUAAGGGAAUGAAUGAGUAUGUUUAUGACACGUUCGGUUAAUUAAAAGGGGACAAAUCAUAGACCGGUGAUGGACAUAACUCAUAAAGCGAGGGUUAGGAUAAAUACAGUCUUUGUUACCAGUGUCCAUAUAAAAAACAAAAAGUCUAGGCUCCAACCUAUUUAUUUCAGGUUGACAGAUUCAUGUCAUAUUAUUUCACUUUGGGCUGCAGGUAGAUUUACUCUUGUUAAUUAUCUUCUCAAAGAUAGAUAAAUCAUGAGUUAAUCCAUAACUACUCAAAUUAAAUAAUAAAUAAGCAAAUAGACAAAUACGUAAAGAGGCUUAAGAAUGAGCCCUUGUGAAAUGUGCCAUGAAACAAAAUUUCAUAUUAAUCUAACUUUGAACACACAAGGUCCUUUUUUUGUUUGUUUAUUAUUUUUUAACUUAAAUUUUCGUUUGUUAACAUUGAUGGGUAUUAAGCAAGGUCCUUUUUAAAAAAAGGUGAAAGGAGGCAUUUCAUUCACUUUACAUUUCUGUAAUAUUUCAUUUUAUAUUCUGCCAUUCCUGAUUUACACAUUCCACCAUUGAUCAAGAUUCGAGUUUCUUUUCUUUUUUUUUUAAAGUUUAUUUAUUUUGAGAGAGAGAGAGCACACAGGCGUGUGUGUGUGAGCGGGGGAGGGGCAGAGAGAGAGAGAGAGAGAGAGAGAGAGAGGAGAGAGAGAGAACCCCAAGCAGGCUCUGCACUGUCAGUGUAGAGCCCAAUGCUGGGCUCUAUCUCACGACUGACUGUGAGAUCAUGACCUGAGCUGAACUCAAGAGUUGGACGCUCAGCCGAGUGAGCCACCCAGGUGCCCCAGAGAUUUGGGUUUCUAACAUGUUGAGAGAGAUACACAAGUAAAGAUGGAAAAUUACUGGUAAAGUAAAAUGAGAUGUUCCUGGGUUUUCUUUGUUAUGUAUUUUAAGAUUUGAACAAAUUAAAGAAAAGGAGGGCCACGCAGGGUUAUGAUGAAUGUGGGUAUGCAGAAAGAAUGAUCUAUAUGUGCGACAGUAAGUCCACUGUAGAAAGAGAUCUGGGGGAUUAGCUCUGGGGGAAAUUAGACAAAAGACAGACAUUAGUAAUAUUCUUACAUCUUAUUCUUGCUUUGUUGUGAUUUAUGAAUAUGAACAAGUGAUUUUUAGUCAAUGAAUGAAUGAAUGGAUGGACAAAUAAACAAAUGUAUAAAUGAGUAAAUGAAAAAGUCCCAAGCCUAGACCAAUGAUGAGUACCCUGGGGUGUCUGAACCAAGGAUUUUGAUUAAACCCUAUAACUCUGAGGUCUAUCAUAAAAACAAACCUAAUUUCUUUCCUUGGUGGGACAUGAACCGGGGCAGAAAUCAGGACUAUAGGUGUCUUGCUUGUGGCUUUGUACACCUUGGGUAAGGGUCUUUUUAUUAGUGACUCAUUGUUUCAGUACAUAAAGAAAUGUAUCUAUGAACAAAGACAACGAGGGCUAGGUCUUUACCAAUUAUGAGAGUAUCUAAUGAGAAAUAAAUUAUUAUUAAAACAUUUCUGAGGAGCUGAGUUCCAGUAGGUUAAGAGUCUAAGACUUUUUUUACCACGUUUCAUCAGGAAUAUAUAGGCAGGUAUCAGUAUUGCUUCUGGGUUGGUGGUUGUUAAUUUUAUUACAAAUUUUAUUAAGAAAAGGGGGGUUGGAAAGGGAAACAUAAUAAAUGAUUGAUUACAGAUGUACUUAAAGAAGAUCGAGCAUGGGCCAAUGAGAGAUAGGGUUAGAUGAGUUAUUCUCAAUCAGUAUCAUUUUUGAAAACGACCCAUUUAAUUGUUUUUCUGUGGGUAUAGAGUUUAUGGGAAGAUGUUAGUAUUAUUUAGGUAUGUCCAGGGAUGUAGUUUCACAGAGUAUCGAGGAUACUAUUAUGAGUGAGCCAAGGAAGAGAUUAUUUAAGAGGGCAAACAUGUAUCAGUGAGGAUAAUACGUUAUUACAAGAAGAUAAUUAUUACUUUUGUUCUACCCUUCAGUAUCCAUAUAAGUAAAAGGGGUUUCUUUGAGGCUCUGCUCACUUUGGGUAAAGGGUGUAGAGAUGACUACUUUUCAUAUUUAGAACAUUUUGCAUUUUUUUGAAAAAAAAAAGAGAACAAAUUUUUACAUGAGUAAAUAAAUAAAAAAACAGAAUAAAUUUAUAAAGUAAGGCCAGCCACGGAUCAUUGAUGAAAAUAUGUCAAGAAAUGAAGAUAUAAAUUUAUAAAAUUCUUAUCAAGGAAGAACCAUAAAAAAAGACAGUUUAGACUAGGACCUAUGCGGUUGGGGUUUAACAGACAGAAUAUGGAACAGGUAUAGUUCUGAAUGUGGAACAGGUGUCGUUCUGAAUUCUUCCACUAGGUUGUCGGUUUAGCAGUUGUCAUUGUAUUACAUGCAUUAUAAUUAAAGAGGUCAGUAAGGGGUGCCUGGGGGGCUCAGUCGGUUAAGCAUCUGACUUAGGCUCAUGAUCUCACAGUUCGUGGGUUCGAGCCCCGUGUUGGGCUCUGUGUUGACAGCUCAGAGCCUGGAGCUGCUUUGGAUUCUGUCUCUCUCUCUCUCUCUCUCUCUCUGCUCCUCCCUUGUUCACACUUAUGUGUGUGUGUCUCUCUCUCUCAAAAAAUAAACAUUAAAAACUUAAAGAAGUCAGGAAGUAAGAAGGCCAUUUGUGGGCUAAUAAUCAGAAUAUGGUAAAAAAGGGAUUUAUGAGAAAUCUACUACAGUAGGACUGAGGUGUCUUGAAAAAAAUCUAAAUCCAUACUGCUUCUUCCAUUUUCUAAAAUCUGCUUGUUACUCUGCAGAGUCAGCAUACCCAGUCUGAUUUAUCCACUAUCCCGUGAUGAAGAUCUUGGCUGUCACUUUUAUGGAUAAGGAGCAAAGUGACUCAUAAUGAAGACACCACGGUUGAUUUAAUCCUAUCUAAUGGUGAAGACGGUGGCUCUGUGGGGAAGGAGCAUUAAAUUCUGAGUCUGCAUUUUCACUAAGCAAACACACCACCGAUGAAGUAAUCAUUCUCUAAUGCUAAAGAUCUUGGCUUUAGCAAGCUGUGGGGGUAAGGACAGAAGAAAUUGAUAAUGAACACACAGCUGAUUUAAUCGUUCUAUGAUCGUGAAGACAUGGCUGUGAAUUCUGGGACUGAGAAACAUAAAGACCGAGGUAAGUAAAUAUCAGUGUUUGCGUUUAAGGCUUAGAUGGGGUUUAUUUAUGGGAGCCCACUAAAUUAUUUCAAUGAAAUAAAUAGUUAAACAAUGUAGGAAAUUCAGGCAUGCCAGUCAUGAGCCCCAAGUCUAGAAUGUGUCACAAACUAAAAUUUAUGAUUACUUUGAUUCAUCCCAACUAAGAGCUGUUGCUAAAGUGAUGGGGGGGGCCUCUCACAUAUUCUCAAAGCAGUCUGCCUUCUCAACUCAUGCUCUUGUCCCAUUUGCCUAAAACAUACCUUCACUGGGGAAGAUCUUAGCUGUUAACUCUCUGAGGCUGGAGCACCCCGAAAGAUGGCAGAUGUCAGUUUUGUCAGUUGUGGGUUAAGAUGACAGGUCUGUGGGUGUUAAUGACACUAGCUUUACUGUAUGGGCAAGUCAAGGGAGAAAGGAGAAGGUGGUCACCAGUCCCUAAGUAAGGGACUGAUAUGAAGGGAGCGUCCUGAUUAAUCCCUGUGUGCAAAACAGAGGUUCACUAUGAAAAGCGAGUGACCGUUCGCUUUCCAUGAAUGGGGGUGGUGAGCAGAUCUCGGUUGGAUGUAAGGCUUUUGUUCUCAGUUUUGUGUCAUUAAAGGGUAUUGAGUGUGUAAUUCGGAUUCAUGAAUCUAUGAAUGAAUCCUUGCAAGAAGGCAUAAAUGAACGAAGAACUCGAAAGCUGUGCCCAGAUCAAUGAUGAGUAUCGGUGGAAUUACCUGAAUCAACACCUUUGAUGAAGUCCUCUGUGCAGUUUUGAGGUCCGUUACAGGAAUAGGACCAGUCGAUCUCCUCUGUAGAAAUUAGCUAAUAGUGGAAGUUAGGAAAAUUCAAUAAGCUUGCCCCAGGCUUUUGUGGUUCAUGGAUACGGAUUAUGUUAUUUCAAGUGAAUCAAUGCAUGAGUAAAGAAAGAGUAAAGAAAGAAAUGAAUACAUGAGAUGCUAAAAGCCUCCUCAUGGAACAAUUAGCAGAGUGCAGCAAAUGCUGUUAAUAUCGAUACAAUUCUGAAGGAAAAAGGCAAGGCUCACUCGGUAAUCCUCUUUUAUAUGGAACAUACUAGUAUCUGCAGUUAAGACCCAGUGUCUUGAGUGUCUGUAGUUUGCUGGGGAGUUUUUAAGCUAAGAGAAGGGGAAGUGUUUGCAUCAGUCAGUAAUCUAUGAGAUAACCGUCUCUUAAUAGGCAUUGAUACAGGUGGAGAUUUGUAAUCGUUAUAGCUCUUAAUCUUGGGCUAGGUGUUGGACUUGAUCGUGUUUAUUGUAUUAUUUAUAAGUAAGAAUUCCAUACGGUUUAAUAAAGAAUAGGAUGCUGGAGCCAAAGUUUAUUGCUAUCUAGCUCUGCCUGAUGAACAGCUAUUAAACAUUUUUUUGAAUGUAGCCUUAGUCGGCUUUUUCUUACCCAGAGUGAACAAUAGCAUAGCUGACUCAGUCAUUUAGUAAGGAGUUAUUGUAGUGAACCAGGAGCAUGAAGAAUAAUUUAAGUAAGUCCCUUAGUUUACAUUCUUUGUUUGGAUGGGUUGUUCACGGAUGUCACCUGAAGAGUUUCGAAGCAAAUAAUUGUGCACCACACACACACAAAUAAAUAAAACACUCCUAAGUAUGGAUCAAUGAUGGGAAUGUAGUAUAGACCCAAAAUUAUGUGUAAUCUAAAUCAGCACCGCAGAGGUAAUUUUAGAAGAAAAUAUAAUGUUAUUUAAUUUGUUUUCAGAGCAGUUUCAUAUUAUUUCUUUCUUUACGUUUAUUAGCUCUGCAGGAGAAAAGCCUAAAAUUCAAGGAUCUUGUUUUUGGGAUUUUGUGAUUGUGUUAUUAUUAUUUGUGAAUCAGAAAAUGAAUCAAUAAACAAAAAAAAUUUUCCUAGCAUGGACCAGUGAUGAAUGUCAUGGGGUUUCUGAAAUAAGAAUUUUGAUUAAACCCAUCUGCAACUCUGAGGUCCAUUACAAAGGAACACCUUAUUAUUCUCUUCGUGGGAAAUAAAAGCCUUCAGCAUCUCAUUCGUGGGCUUUUGUGGUUUGGGGUAUGAAUUGCAUUAUUAUAAUACAAUUAGCCCAUGAAUAAAGAAAUACAUCAAUGAAUAAAGAGUAAGAAGGAUAUGCAUGCACUACUUUUAGGGCACACAAUGAAACAGGGAUCAUUAUUACAACAAUUUUGAGAUUCUUAGCCCUAAUAAAUUAGCAGUUAAGGCUUUUAUCACUUUGGUGAGGGGCAUAUGGUCAACUGUGCCUAAGAGUCAAUGGUUUGUUCUGUGUUGAGGCACAUUGCGAAUUGAUCAUUCUAUUAAGGAAAGGAAAAUACAUUUACAUAAAUAGUUGAUUGAAUAAACUAUCUAAUUGAGAGAGAGAGCAUGGUGAUACUGUUUCAUACGGCCACACUCAUGAUUAAUGCAGUCUUCUUAGGCAGUUUUGUGUAAGCAAACAAACACUAAAGAAUCAGUUCGGUAUUCUUCCGGGUAAUGACAUAAGGACAAAUGUAAAUAUUAUUCAAGGUACUUCUCCAGUGUGGGUGGGCUGACACAUAUUGAAGUAUAAUUAUAAGUGAACAAAUGCAUAUGCAUUUAGAUCUCAGUGUUUUUUUAAGUCAGCCAACAAUACAUUAAAGGAAAGCAUGCAGUUGAAUUUAAAGGUCAUGAUGUGUCAUGUUUUACCCAACUCAUAUCCAUAGGAAGGAAAAGAGUUCUAGGCCUUUCUGCUGGUGCAUGUAGACAUUUGUAAAUAGUGAGCAUUUUGCUUCUGUUUUGAUGGUUGUUUAAUUUUGGGGAUUCUUUUAGAAAAAUGAAGGGAUGAUCUUACUAUCCCGUGAGUAAUUAAAUAGGAUAAUUAGUGAGUGAAUUAAUAAAUAUAUUAAGUAGGGUCAGAUUUGGAUCACUGGUGAGAUUGUGCCCUGAAUGGAAUCUCCCAGGUAUCCAGUGCUGCACAAAUAAAUUUCUUUCUUUUUUUUUCUGGAAUAAAGUUUUUAAAUAUGCAAUUUAUUGUCAAAUUGGUUUCCAUACAACACCCAGUGCUCAUCCCAACAGGUGCCCUCCUCAAUGCCCAUCACCCACUUUCCUCUCCCUCCCACCCCCCCCCCCCCAUCAACCCUCAGUUUAUUCUCAGUUUUUAAGAGUCUCUUAUGGUUUGGCUCCCUCCCUCUCUAACUUUCUUUUUUCCUUCCCCAUCCCCCAUGGUCUUCUGUUAAGUUUCUCAGGAUCCACAUAAGAGUGAAACCAUAUGGUAUCUGUCUUUCUCUGUAUGGCUUAUUUCACUCAGCAUGACACUCUCCAGUUCCAUCCACGUUGCGACAAAGGCCAUAUUUCAUUCUUUCUCGUUGCCAAGUAGUAUUCCAUUGUGUACAUAAACCACAUCUUGUUUAUCCAUUCAUCAGUUGAUGGAAAUUUAAGCCCUUUCCAUAAUUUGGCUAUUGUUGAAAGUGCUGCUAUAAACAUUGGGGUACAAGUGCCCCUAUGCAUCAGCACUCCUGUAUCCCUAGGGUAAAUUCCUAGCAGUGCUAUUGCUGGGUCAUAAGGUAGAUCUAUUUUUAAUUUUUUGAGGAACCUCCACACUGUUUUCCAGAGCGGCUGCACCAGUUUGCAUUCCCACCAACAGUGCAAGAGGGUUCCCUUUUCUCCACAUCCUCUCCAGCAUCUAUGGUCUCCUGAUUUGUUCAUUGUAGCCACUCUGACUGGCAUGAGGUGAUACCUCAGUGUGGUUUUGAUUUGUAUUUCCCUGAUGAGGAGUGACAUUGAGCAUCUUUUCAUGUGCCUGUUGGCCAUCUGGGUGUCUUCUUUAGAGAAGUGUCUGCUCAUGUGUUCUGCCCAUUUCUUCACUGGAUUAUUUAUAAAUUUCAACAAAAAAGAUGAUCUUGGCUCUUACCUACAUGGGUGGCAGGUACAGACAGAUAUUCCUGAUAAUUUUUUUUUCUGUUUACUGCUAGGUUCAGUGGUGGUCAUUAUAUUAUUUAAAAUAAAAAAAAUUCCACAAAUUAGUAAAUAUUAAGUAGAGCUCUGUCUUUCCAAUGUUUAGGAAAGUAUGCAAACUCAGGUUUAUGGUUACUUGAUUUUUGAUCAUUUAGGAUAGUUAAAUGUAGACUGAUUCUUUUUAAAGUUUGCUUUUUACUCCUCAGAAUGAACACACUCUACCAGAUUUGAUUAUUAUCUCAUGGUGAAGAUCUUGCCUUUUACCUCUUUGGGAAAGACAGAAGAGAUAAGUAAUGGAGACCAUGGCUGAUUUAACCAGUCUCUACUGAUGAAGAUCUUGGCUGUUAUCUUUCUGGAAUGGAUGAACGAUGAAUCAAUUAUGGAGUAUAGAAACAUAAUGGAUGUGCCAGGCCAGUUGAAGCAUCUCCAUGGUCAUGAGCUGUUUGUUGCCUAGGAGCAUAGAGACCAGUAAUGGAUGCAGUUAAGCUGAUUCUCUGUGGUUGCCUCCAUUGUCAGGAACACAGACACUAAUAGUGGGCACACCAAGGUGAUGAAAGCCAUCUGCCAUGGUUACAGGCUCUAUAUGUAGGAGAUGGAGACCAGCAGUGGAUGCCCUGGAGCUAAUUUAAGGAUUCUUCCAUGGUCACAAGGCGUCUGCUUGUCUCUGUGUGUUUGGUGUAUAGAAAUAAUGGACACAUCCAAGGUGGUUUAAAUAGUAUGCCUGUAGGAACAUGGAAACCAACAAUAGGUACAUGCGUGAAGUUGGGUUGAAGCAUCUUUCAUGGUCACGAGCUCUGUGGUUGCCUUGUCUAAUGAGCAUAGAGGCCAACCAUGGAUGCACUUGAACUCACUUAGGUGUUUGGCCGUGAUCGGAUGCUCCAUGGAUGCCCCUUGCGUGUAAGAGGAUGGAGACCAAUAAUGGAACCCCAGGCUGAUUUUAGCUUCUGCUCUGAUCAAGAUCGACAUGUUGCUUCAGUGUUGGAGAGAGACCAAGGAUGGGCAUACUCAGGCUGGUCGAAGAAUUCUUCAAUGGUCACAGUCCCUGUGGUUGCACCUGUGUUCCAGGUGUGCAUAGCCCAACAUGAAAAACACCUGAGCCGAUUUAAGCAUCACCAUGUUUAGGCACUCCAGGGUAGCCUCUUGUGUGGGAGCAUGAAGUCCAACAAUCAACACAUUCCAGCUGAUUCAGAUUUUUCACGGUCAAAAGGUCUGUGAUUUCCUGUGUGUUCGGGCCAUGGGGAUGAAUGUGGACACACGUGAACUGAUUAAGCACUUGGCUGUCAACAGGGGCUCCACUGGUCGUCCUUAUGUUGGUGCAUGUAGACCAAGAACAGAUGCCCCAAGGAGAUUUCAGCUUCUGUCAUGGUAAAGAUUGUCAAGAGACCAAGGUACCUGAAUGACUAAGUAAAUGAAAUGUGGUUCGCAAGAGGCAAUGGGAUAAGGUCCCAGUUUCCUUUAUCGUCUGCUCUGCUCUGUACUCCUCGGAAUUGACGCACUCACGCUGAUACAGGUGCUUCCAUGGUUACAUGCUUUCUGAUUGCAUACGUGUGUUUGGAGCAUAGAGACCAAUAAUGGAUGCACUUGGGGUGAUGUAAGCAUCGUCCAUGGCCACGAGCUCUGUGGUUGCAUGUAUGCAUUAGGAGCGUGGAGACCCAUAAUGGACGCACUCAAGGUCAUUCACGCGUCUUCAGGUUUAGUAGCUGUGUGCUUUGCAUCUGCGUCUUAGAAGCCUGGACGACAAUAAUGGAUGUGUUCCAGCUGAUAGAAGAUCAUCCAUGGUCGGGUGCACUAUGUUUUGGGGAGCAUGGAGACCAGUAAUGGGACCCGUCGAGAUUUAAGGAUUCUUCCACGAUCAUGUGAUCUCGGGUUGCAUUCAUGUGUUAGGAACAUGGAGACCAUAAUGGUUGCACUCGGCUGAAUUAGACUUUCCACCAUAGUCAUGAGCCCUGUUUGCCUCUAUGUGUUAAGAGCAUGGAUCACAACAAUGAACUCCCUAGGGAUGAUGCUCCAUGGGCAUGCGUUCGCCUCUGUGUAAUAGGGAGGAUGGAGAGUAAUGUAAGUAAUAGUUGAAGUUUUUUUCUCAGUUUAAGUGGGUUUAAGGUUAUUCACUGUAUUAUUAAAAAGUGUAAACUAUAAUUAAGGAAGGCAGCUGUAUCUCAGUGUUAAAUAUGGGAUGUAUGAAACACAUUGAUUAAUGCACAUAGGAAAAGCUGAGGAUAUUAAUGAGAGAGCUAUAUUGAGGUGAGAUUAAUUCUAUAUUUAGAUUUGAGACUUCAAGUCUCUUUUUUAAAAUUGUACUGCUUAAAAAUUAUUAGUGAAUUCAUGAAUUCACUAAUUAGUGAGUUAGUGAAUUAUUUGAUCAAUAAACAAAUACGAAUCUAUGUAGGAAAAAAGGGACAAUAUUGGAUCAAUGAUGACCACUGGUGGCGUAUGAGUCGUUCGCGAUGAAUACGUGUCUGGAACUCUGAGGUCCAACAGAAAAUUGGUGUAGGCCAUUCCUAUUGUUUGAAGGCAUCCUAUGGACAGAUUUCAGGAAUAAAUAAAGGGUUUAUUUUUGGUCUUGGUAUUCAAGUAUUUUUGUUUUAUUAUUAUAAUUGGAUAAAUGUGAGAAUCAAUAAAUACAUAAAUAAACAAAUGAAUAGCGUGAAGCAUUGUCCAAUUAUAAAAAUAUGUGGUGAGGCAAGGAAUACUAUUAAUAUUUUAUGGAAACCUUGAAGUUUCAUUAGAAAUAAAUGGCAUUUGACUGUUACCUCUUAGGGUAAGGAUGAUGUAGACAGUGUAAGUUAUAUAGACAGUGUUCGUAUUCUGUCUUAGUGGUAAGAUCCAAGUUGUUUGUUUUCUUAGCAGACUAAAUAUAUACACUAAAUUGAUGAUUGCCUAAAUAACUAUGUGAAUGUUGAAGCAGAGCUCCAUGGAGAGAAUGUCUCAACCAUUUUAUCACCUGCUUUGCUUUGUACUCCUUAGAAGAGACACACGGAACCUGAUUUAAAGAUUCUUCCUUGAUCUCGAACUGCAGGGUUGCAUCACCUGUUUUAAGAGACUGGAGACCAGUGUAAGUGUAAACAAAUUUCUCUGUGUUGAUUUGGGUUGUUUGUCUAAGGGUAUUUAGUCAUGAAAUCGUUGAAAUAUAAUCAGAGAAGGCCAUCUUGAUCCUUACUGAUAAAUAAGAGAUUUAUGGGAAAUAUGAUCUAGAUUAAUGCAUGUAUGAAAAAGUGAUACGUGACUGAGAUGUAAUGAUCUGAAAAUGGCUCUAGAAGCAUAUUAGGGAUAUCAAAGCCUUUUCGGCGUUUGUCAAUAAUAGAGGUUAAAAAUUAUAAUUAGAGAAUUAAUAAAUUAAUAAACAGGAUAGAAAUAAAUGAAGAGAAAGUGGUCUUUUCUGGAUCAAUGAUGGUAACUGCCAGUGUAUGAGUCCCAGGUGACGAGUAAUACGUGUGGUCCAAUACAAGAACAAUGUGGUCUUUCUCUUCAUUCAUUUUCACUUCUUAUUAUAGUUGAACCAUGAAAGAAGCAAUAAACAAAUAUAUGGAUCAAUUGAGAGAAAGUCUCAAUUUUUUUUUAUCACUUCUGUUCGGUACUUUUCCGAAUAGAAGCUCAAGGUGAUUUCAGCCUCUCUUGUGAUCAAGGUCACCAUGUUUCCCUUCUCUAGGAAAGGGCCCAAGGCGAGUAAUAGUUAAAGUUCUUUUCUUGGUGUGGGUCAUGUGUUUAAGGGCUUUCGUGGUGUUACUCAAACAUAAUAAAUACAGUGAAAAAUUAACCAUGGCUCAAUGAUAAAUAUGAUUUGAGACAUUACGUUGAUUAAUCGAUAACAUGUAACAUUGCUACUUAUUAAUGAAAGAGGUAUCUAUUUUGGCAAUAAUUCUAUAGGGAGAAGUUAGGGAUGUUCAAGUAUCAUGUUCUUUGGUUUUUAUUAAUCGUGGGUGUAUUUUAUUAUUCCCAGUGGAGGUAUGACUUAAUUGAUACAGAUAUAAAAAUGAAUAAACUAAAAGUGGCCUCUAAGGGAACCAGUGGUGAUCACGGGUCAUGGACGGUGGAUAGUAGGUGUCUGGAACCCUGAGGUUCAAUACAAUAAAUAUUCUGUUUUCUCUAUUUACUUGAUCGUAUGGGUAGAUGUUAGGAAGUAUAAAGAUCAUGUUCUUAUUUUGGAUGAAUACGUUUAGAUGUGUUGUUAUGAAUGGACCAAUGAUAGAACCACUAAAGGAAAUAUAAAUAAUAGAGUAAGAUGAAAAGGCAAAUUACUGUCUAAUUAGGAACGUAACAUGGUGAAGCAAGAAAUACUAACAAAAUUUGCAAACACUGAUGCCCAUUAUGAAAUAGAUGUUUCCAGGGUGUCUCUUCUUUUGCCAAAGAUUAUAUAGAUAUGAAUAAUUAAGAGUCAUUUUUAUUAUUCUGGAUCAGUGUCAAGUUUGAAGGUUUCCUUUUUGUUAAGAGAAAAAAUCUACAUUAUGAAAGAUUUAUAAAUUCCUAAAUGAGUAAGUUCAAUGUGGAAAGCAAGAAUCAGUGGGAAUAAAAAUGUCAUCAUUUUUUUCUGUCAUCACUGUGGUUUGUACUUCUCAGAAUGGACACAUUCAAGCUAAUCAGGCAUUCCUCCCUGGUUGGUGAGCUUGGUGACAGCAUCUGUGUGUCAGAAGCACAGAGAUGGAUAAACAGGCACGCUGCACCUGAUGUAAGGAUCCUUCCCUGAUCAGGAGCUCUAGGAUUGCUCUGGAAGGAGUAGGAAGAUCAGUUACUCUUCAGAACGGAUGCUCUAGCUGAUUUCAGCUUCUGCCCUGAUGAAGAAAGAUUGUUGUGUGGCCUGGGUCUUAGGAGGGUAAGCCAAGGUGAGUAGCAAGAGAUUUUGUCUUGGUGUGGGUCAUUUCCCUUAGGGUAUUCACAGUGUUAUUAAAAGUUCAUAAAUAGCAUCAAAAAGUAAGGUGUUGCCCAAUGGUAAACACAGCUAGGAAACAUACCGAUUAAGUGAUGAUACGUAACAUGGAGAUUGACUGAUGAGAGAGAGAUAAUCUAUGUUGGCAUUUAUUCUAUAGAUAGAAGUUAGGGAAUUCAACCUGCUGAUUCUUCAGUUUUUGUUAAUGAUGUAUUUUGCUAUAAUCGAUGAGUUAAUGAUGUAACUGGUAUAAAUGUCGAAAUGAAUGAAGAAAAAGUGGGUCUUUUAUGUACCUGUGAUAAUGACUGGUGGCAGAUGAGUUAGGGACGCUGAAUGAGGUCCAGGUCAAUACGUAGUCUUUCUCUCUGUUUAUUUGAUCCUAAGGACAGGUUUUUGGAUAGUACAAAGAAUGUUUUUACUGGGUUCAUAGAUUUAGAUGUAUUAUUAGAAAUAGAUCAGUAAUAGAACCAUUGAAGAUAUAGAAACAGCAGAUAAAUACAAAAACGUGAGGCCUUGUCCAACUUUGAAGACCUGUUUUUAGGCAAGAAAUAUUAAUAAAAAUUGUGAACACUGACACCUGUUAAGAAUUAAAUGGAUCAAGAGUGUCACUUCUUUGGCCAAGGGUCAUUUAGACAUGAGCAAUUUAGAGUCCAUUUUAUUGUUCUUGAUCCAUCUCAAGUUUGAGGAUUUUUGGUGCUGUUGUUGUUAAAAGAAAAAAAAACAAUGUUAUGAAAUAUUCAUAAAUAUCUGAAUGACUGAGUAAAUGAAAUGUGGAAAGCAAGCAUCAAUGUAAGUAAAUGUUUUGUUUUAUUUUAUUUUUUAUCACCAACUCUGCUUUUCAUUUCUCAAAAUGGACACACCUCGAGCUGAUUUAAGCAAUAUUCCGUGGCGGUGAGCUCUGUGGUUGCAUGUCUGUGUUAGAAGCACAGAGAACCAUAAUGGAUAUCUCCGAGCUGAUUAAAGCAUCUUCCAUGGCCAUGAUCUCCUGGUUGCCUCUAACAAUGGAUGCACUCAAGCUGAUCGUAACAUUCCUCCAAGGUCGUGAGCCCUCAGGUUGCAUCUAUGUUGUAGGAGCGUGGAGACCACAACGGACACACUUGACCUGAUUCAAGUAGCACGACCCGGUGGCAGAGGGACCGAUGUGCGUAAGAGUCGGAGUUCUUGUCUGGCUUUCAAACGAUGCACUUGAGCUGAGUUAGCAUCUUCCAUGGUCAAGAGCUCUAUGGUUGCCUCUCUAUAGUAGGACAGAAAUUAAUGUGAGUAACGGUUGAGGUUAUUUUCUUGGUUUCAGUAUUCUACUUUAAGGUUAUUUGUAUAAAGGUGCAAAGAAUUUUUAAAGAACGCAAGUAUACAAUUGCGUAAGUAUGGGAUACAGUUACAGUAAUAAAUAUGGGAUAUAGUUAACAUUAUUUUGAUUGAUGUAUAUAAGAAAAACAGGCAAUAAUGAGAAAUAUGGAUGUGAGAAUAGUUCUCUAUAUAGACUACAGACACAAAGACUCUUCUUGGGUUUUUAUGAAUGAUAGCAUUUAAAAUUGUUAUUGGUGAAAUAAUUCUAUAAUCAAUAAACCCAUAGAAAUGAAUGAAGAAAAUAAGGGACAAUAUUGGAUGGAUGAUGACCAGUGAUGGCGUAUGAGUCAUAUAUGAUGAAUACGUGUCUGGAACUCGGAGGUCCCAUAUGAAAGAAAUCUAGUUCGGUACCUCUAUUUGAAUCGACCCUUCCAACUGGACAUCAGGAAUGUGCAAAGAAAAAUCGCAUCAUUAUGAUUUGGAAUUGACAGCAAAUGGACCAUUUUGUCAAGUGUGUUUUGUCUCUAAUGCAAAGGUGGUAAUAGACCAUUAUAAGUUACAGUCAGUUGUGCGAGUCACCUUCACAUUUGAUAUUUGAUGUAUUAAGAAGAAAUAUAUUAACAUAGUAAAUACCUGAACGACGACAUAAAUGAAUGGUAUAACCUAUGAAUCAAUGGGUAAACAUCUUGAUUUUUUGUCAUCUGCUCUGCUCUUUGCUCUCAGAAUGGACACCCUUGAGCUGAUUUAAGGAUUAACCCACAGUCAUCAUGUUUAUGUUGGCAUCUCCCUGUUAGGAGCAUGGAGAUCAAUGUGAGUAAGAGUCAAAAUUCUUCUCUUGGUUUAAGCGGUACAGAGAAGGCCAGCCAUGCCAAUGUGCAGUAUUGGAUUGAUAUGAAACAUUAAAAUGAUCAAUCCCUAAAGAAACAAACACUAAGUUCAGUUAAUCAAAAGGAUUUAGUCUAUUUAUAUAGGAUAUUAUUGAUAAAUGUUAGGGAUAUUGAAGGAUCUUCUUUUUUGGUGUGAUGUAUGCAUAUUUCUUUAUUAAUGAAUUAGUCAAUAAAGAAGCGCAGAUGAGAGUGGACAGAAAGACAGCCAAUCAUGGACCAGUGAUGAUGACCUGCUGGUGUAUGACUCAUGGAUGAUGAAUAAUGAGUGUGGAACACUGAGGGCCAACCCGAAAGGAACCUAGUCUAUUCCCCAUAUUUCCAGUCAUACUAUAGGCAGAGGUCUAGAGUCAGGGCUAUAAUCUUUUUCUUGGUCUUUGUGUUCAUGAAUUAUAAAACUGUACGAAAGAAUCAAUGGCAGCAUAAAUUAGCAAAUGUAUAAAUGAAUAAAGGUGAAGAGGAUGAAGCAUUGUUCACUACUAAAAUAUAUAGUCAGGGAAAUGAAUAUUAAUAUUCACUGGAAUGGAUAAUAAAUGGGCCAAGAGUAUUACAUAUUUGAGUAAUUGUGACAUGGAUGGUGAUAGGUAGUAGUUGGUAUCACCCUGAGUCAGUUGUGAGUUUGAGGUUUGUUGUAUUGAGAGGAAAAUAAAUAUUACCACAAAUUAAUAAACGCUUAAGUGACUAAGGACAUGAAAGAUGAAAAUUGUGGGUCGGUGGGGACAGUGUCUCAUUUUGUAAAAAUCAUUGUGUCUUCUUGGUACUCUUCAGAAUGGACGCACUGAUCUGAUUUUAGCUUCUGCCGUGCUUAAAAUUGUGUUGUCUCUGUCAGGAGAGAGAACAAAGCGAGUAAUAGUCAAAGAUCUUAGCUUGGUUUUAAUCAUUUGUUUAAGAGUGUUUCCGGCAUUGUUAAAAAGCAUUAAACAUCAUAAAAAAGUUAUCCAAGGCACAAUAAUAGAUUUAAUAGGAAACAUUCUUACUGUUGAUUAAUCAAAGAGAUGGAAAAAAUAUGGUGUAUAUGAGAAAGGAUUCUAUAGAACAGCAUUAAGGAUAUUCAAGGAUCUUGUGCUCAUGUUUUCUUGAAUAAUGUCUCUGAAUUAAUGAUUUAAUUGAGGACAAAUGUAAAACAAAUGAAGCGAGUGAGGAUCUAGAAUGGCCCAGUAAUGAUGACUGGUGGUGUACCUAGUCUGUUUCCUGUUUGAAAUGAUCCAUUGGACAGAGUCAAGAAUAUACAGAUACCAGGUUCUUAUUUUAGAUUCACAAAUUUCGAUUUACCAUUACUAAUGAAUCAAUGAUAGAACCAUUAAACAAAUAUAAAUAUAUAAGUAAAGAAGAGGAUGAAGUGAUUUUCCAUUAUAAACAUAUGUAAUGAGGCAAAAAAUAUUAUUAAUAAAAAUUGAAAACACUGAUGUUCAUAAAGAAAUAGAUGGAUUAAGAACGUUGUCUCUCAUUUAAGAUCAUGUUGGGGUGCCUGGGUGGCUCAGUCGGUUGAGCAACCGACUUUGGCUCAGGUCAUGAUCUCACAGUUUGUGAGUUCGAGCCCCGCGUCGGGCCCUGUGCUGACAGCUCAGAGCCUGGAGCCUGCUUCGGAUUCUGUAUCUCCCUCUUUCUCUGCCCCUCCCCCACUCACGCUUUGUCUCUCUCUGUCUCGGAAAUAAAUAAACAUAAAAAAUAAUUAAAAAAAAAAAGAUCACGUAGACACUGUUUAGUAGGAGUCAAUUUUCUUGUUCUCGAUCAUAUCCAAGGUAGAGAUGAUUCCUCUUGUUAAGAGAAAAAACAUAUUUAUGAAAAAUUAAUAAAUGUAUCAAUGAGUAACUGAAAUGCAGAACUCAAGGGUCAGUAGAGAUAAGAUCUGUUUUGUUUUUUGUUCUUUUGUUGUUAACUAAUCACCUGUUCUGCUCUGUACUCCUUAGAAUGGACACACCUGAGCUGAUUUAACAUCUUUCAUGGUCAUGAGCUCUAUGGUUGCAUAUGUGUGUUAGGAGCAUGGACACCAGUAAUGGACUCGCUUGAACUGCUGUAAGCAUCUUCCAUGGUCCUGAGCUCCUGGUUGCAUCUAUUUAUUAGGAGCAUAGAGACCAGUAAUGAAUACCCUCAAGCUGACGUAAGCAUCUUCCACGGCCAUGAACUCCAUAGUUACAUCUCUGCAUUAGGAGCAUGGAGAUCAAUAAUGGGCACGGCCAUGCCAGUUUUGGCGUUCUGUCAUGGCCCCGAACUCAGUGGUGUCUUUGGAGAACGGAGACCCUUGUGUGUGAGUAGCAGUCGAACUUUUUGUCUUGGUUUGGGCAAUUUUUAAGAGUGGUCAAUGCAUUUUUAAGAAGUAGGAAAUAGAAUCAAAGGCCAAACAUGACCCAGUAAUAAACACGGGACUGGUACAAAACAUUAUGUUGAGAUGUCCAUAUGUGAAACACAGAGACCGAUUUCAGAAACAGAUCUAACGUCUGUGGGAAACGAUUUCAUAGGUAGCUAUUAGGGAUAUCGAGGCUCUUAUUCUGGGUGUUUUGGAUUCACGUAUAUUUCUUCAUGAGUAAGUAGUGAAUUAAUGAAUAAGUCAAUUGACAAAAUAUAAAGGAAAAGAAUUCACAAGCUUGGGCCAUUGAUGGUGCCUGGUGGUGUAAGAGUCAAGGAUGAUGAAUGAUACAUGUCUGGACCCCUGUAUGGAAGGUGUUGAAUCAAUACAUUGUACACCUGAAACUAAUAUUACACUGUAUGUUAAUUAAUCGGAAUUGAAAUAAAAACUUAAAAAAUAAAAUAGUUCAUAUUCAUUUCCCCCUUUUUUUCCAUCUACUUUCUACUUUACGGAAUGGAUACACGUAAGCCGAUAAUCAUUCUGUAAUGAUCAGGACCUUGAUGCUUCAAUGUGAAUAAUACUCCAAAUUCUUGUUUUUGUCUAUACAAACAACGGGGGUUGUCUGUAUAGGGUAUUCAGAGUUGUCUGCGUGAUUGAAAAGUAUGGAAUAUAACUUGUGGGGAUGAGCCCUGGGUGUUAUAUGUAGGGGAUGAUCGCUGGAAUUUACUCCUGAAAUCAUUAUUGCCCUAUACGCUAACUAACAUGGAUGUAAAUAAAUAAAUAAAUAAAUAAAUAAAUAGUAUGGAAUAUAAUCAAAGAAAGCCACAUGAGGGCCAGCGAUGAGACUGUGUCACAAACCAAGGUUCAUGAUAUAUCUGAUUUAGCACAACACAUCCUUUUAAAAAAGGAGUUCUAAUCUUUUAGCUCUGAAGGUAUGAGACCCAGAGUAAACUGCCUGCCACUCCUAGUUCUUUUUCUUUUUUUAGUUUACUUAUUUAUUUUGAGAGAGAGAGAGAGAGAGAGAGAGAGAGAGUCAGAGAGACAGAAUCCCAAACAGGCUCUGCACUGACAGGACAUGGGGUUUGAACUCACAAACCGUGAGAUCAUGACCUGAGCAGAAUAUCAAGAGUCGGACGCUUAACCAACUGAGCCACCCAGGCGGCCCAAAAUAAAUGUAAAUAACUUCUAGAAAGUCGUGCGUAGGCCAGUAAUGUGAAUAUGUUAUGAACCACAGUUUGGAUAAUUAAUCCAAAUUAGCGCAAAUGAAGGACAAGGUAAAGAACUUUGCUUUUUUCAUUCAUUUCAAAACUCAAAGUCUCAUUUUAUGUUUGUUCCACUGAUUUUUUUUUUUUAUUUAUUUAGUCCCACUGAUGAUUUAAACAUUUCCCUCUUGAUAAAGAUCUAGGCCGAUACUCAUUUCGAGAGUCGAUAUUCUAGUUGUUGAGCAGGAUGGUGGGUUCAUGGUUGGCCUCUGUAACACCUAACAAUGGUUCAGUGUAAUCUCUAAAAGUUAAAUGCUGAAGGAUUGCACCUACAUCAAUGAUGUGAAUGGAAUGCAUCUGAAUAAAAAUUAUGAUCAAUCAUUUUUUGAACCACUGAGGUCCAGCACUCACAAAGCGAACUAGUGUAGGACUUUUGGGGAGUGGUCUCAGGAAAGGUCAAGAAUCUAGUUGAGAAAGGUUCAUGGAUUUGACUUUAUAUUAUUAGUGAAUAAAUGAAUGUAUCAAUAAGCAAAUAUACUCAAAGGUAAAGAAAAUGAGGUUAAAACAUGGACCAAUUUAGAGGAUAUGUUAUAAAACGGGAAAUAUUCUGUAUUCAGUUCUGAAAUACUUUGGUCAAGUAAGAAAAAAAAAACCCCAUAGAUUAAGGUUGUUACCACUUUGUGUAAGAAGCCGCUAGGUAGAGGGAGUUUAUGAGUCGAUGUUCUGCUGUCUAUUUGCAGUGGGUUUCUAUGUGUUUGUUUCGUGAAGGAAAAAAAAAGUUGAAAUUAAAGAAAUGGCUAACUGAAUGAGUGAGUGCCAAGAAUGAACCAAUGAUGACUAUAUUUUAUUCUUUAUUACAUCUGCUUUGUGCCGAGAAUGGCCACACAUUGGCUGCUUUUGUCAUUACACUUAAUGGUGAGGAUCCUGACUGUUACUGAUGUGGCCAAAGAAAGCAUAGAUUAGGAAAGUUCCCAAAUGAUACCCACGUAAUACGAAGAUUCCCCUGUCCAAGAAGAAUGGCGAGUUCGACGAAGUUCUAGAACAAUGCCAGUUUGGAUGGGAUGGGUCCAGACUAUGCACCUUUAAGACAGCAUAACAUGCUGUUCUGCCAGGGACAGAUGACGAGAAAAGUAAGUUGGCAACAUCUUUGCCCUCUGUGGGUAUUUGCCCAAGACCGCCCCCCCUCCACUGCCCCCUCCCUGUAUUGCAUCAUUCCUCCCUCCUGCAAUUAUGUGUUAUAAUUUUAUACCCACUCUAUGGCUGACACUGACCACUCCCCCUCCUCUCCUGUCUUGCCUGUUCCUGACCCUGGAUUCCAUCUCUCACUCCUGGUUUCGUGUCCUUCCUUUGGACUUGGCGAUGUAACGGUCAUUUGGCUUCGAAUAUCGCCUUCUCCUUCCUGAAGACUGGAUUUCAGCUCAAAUCAUUGGCCUUUCUCCUUCGGACUGAAUCAGGUAGACCCCCGUCUCCCUUCUUAAUAGUGGGCAUCUGGGACCCUAAUUUUGAGUCUUGUGUGUUGGCUGUCUUCCAUCUGGGCAACCUCCAGCCCCUCCGGGCCCCCUGAAUGCUGAGGGCGGGCGGCAGGAUGAGCAUCAGUGGCCUUCGUCUAGAAUCUAAUGUGUGACUGGAAAGUGUGUAUGGACGCAGGACGUGGGACUUAGGUUCUCACAUUCCCCAGGAUUGUUGGGUAAAUGAGGUGCUUGGACCUCAUAGCGUUCAACAGCUUCUAGUUGAUUCUAAUCUGUGCUUUCCGUGGUUGCUCAGCUUUGUGCCAUGCCCAACACACCUGUCACCUGCCUUGCACUCACAUAUUCCCUUGUCUUCCUUCCUGGCUCCUCACCUCCCGUGGUCCAGAUUCGUCCUGUCAUGCUCACGUAUCCACCCUCCACACCCCCGACAGAGCCCUUGUUAUGGUGUUAGUUAUGACCUACUGGUUUCUCCCAAAGGGAAUGAACUCCUUGGUGUCAGGUAACCCACCAGAAGGUCUAGGCUUCAGUAAAUGUUUGGUGAACUACUUGUCCAUUCUUUCAUUUAUUCAGAAAAAGAUUGGGCUCUUUCUGUGGCACCAGAGGUUGGGUAUAAGCAGCAAGAGGCAGGCCAUAUCCUAUCUCUGCCCUCAUGGAACUUCAAGUCUUGAGUGGGAGAUAGAUUUCGAACAAAUUUUCACUGUGGAAUUACUUAAUCAUCCUCGUGACGAGCUCUAUGAAGCCCGGGUGCCGCGGGCUUUGCUGACCUGCCACCUGGGCUGGUCUGGCCCUUAUGACAAGCUCCCUCUGCUUUGGGGGCGACACUCUGGAAGGACAAGGCCAUGGCCACGGUCAGAGCUGGCAGAUGGCUGUGGGUCCCUGCGGGCAGGUCCUCGGACAUCGUUGGACGAAAGAGGGAUGGGUGGACCUUGGGGUUUGUGCAGCGGCCCUUUGGUUAUUACCUGGGCAGAGGCGACCAGCCAAACAUUGCAGUCACUCGGGCCACGUGCUUGUUAAGGAAGGCUCUGCUGAGGCUCAGGGUUGGAGCCACCCCGUCAACUUCCAGGUGGUUCUUCUCGAUGUACUGCCAGAUGACAAACUGGGGGUACACCGGAACAUGUGUUGACCUUGUCUCCCUCCACCACAUUCCAUUCUGAGUGUCUUCAAAUGGCUGCCCGAGAAACCACCGUGGGGGUAGCAUCAUUGUGAUGCUCUGCAGCGAACCUUGCAGUCCACACGCCUUGUUCCGGUCGCCUUCACCGAUGCCACCCUCCCUCGGCCUCCAGCUUUGGUCCUGCCCCUUCCUCUGUCUCCAGAGAACCCAGGAGGCUACCUCUCUCAUGCCCGGCACCACGAAAGUCCAGACUUCCCUCAUGUUGGCCUGGGUCAGCCUCUGGAUUGGUCUUUUCGCCCUUCCUUCAGUUUGUUCUCCGUGCUGCAGUCAAUACAAUCUUUCUAGAUUUUUCUAGAAUGCAUGAAAAAGAGUCCCAUGCUCCCUAAAGCCCUUUUGUGAGUUUCGGAAGCCCCAGGGGGAAGCCCAAGCUCCUUGCUUCUCACUCACAGUCUUUGUGACUUGGCCUCUUGCCCUGGCUCCCACCUUGGC